UACGGAGGGUGCGAGCGUUGUCCGGAAUCACUGGGCGUAAAGGGCGCGUAGGCGGCCUGAUAAGUAGGGGGUGAAAUCCUGCGGCUUAACCGCAGGGCUGCCUUCUAAACUGUCAGGCUUGAGCAUAGUAGAGGCAGGUGGAAUUCCCGGUGUAGCGGUGGAAUGCGUAGAGAUCGGGAAGAACACCAGUGGCGAAGGCGGUCUGCUGGGCCGUUGCUGACGCUGAGGCGCGACAGCGUGGGGAGCAAACAGG
rnacentral:rRNA from 1 species